rnacentral:siRNA from 1 species
GGUCCACCAAGUUUUUCCACAGC